UACGUAGGGUGCGAGCGUUGUCCGGAAUUAUUGGGCGUAAAGAGCUCGUAGGCGGUUUGUCGCGUCGGGAGUGAAAACCCAGGGCUUAACCCUGGGCUGGCUUUCGAUACGGGCAGACUAGAGGUAUGCAGGGGAGAACGGAAUUCCUGGUGUAGCGGUGAAAUGCGCAGAUAUCAGGAGGAACACCGAUGGCGAAGGCAGGUCUCUGGGCCAUAACUGACGCUGAGAAGCGAAAGCAUGGGGAGCGAACAG
rnacentral:rRNA from 1 species